UUUCUUUAAAGACUACUUUUCAUCAUCGCUACUACAAGAUAGGUUAAUAAACCAAAAAAAAAAGAAAAAGAUAAAGUUGCACCGUUAAUAUAAAGUUGCAUUUUUUCAAAAAAAAUUGUAUUGUUUGAGAAAAUCAUUGCAUUCUUUGAAAAAAAAAUUGUAUUCUUUGGACAAAAAUUACACUCUUUAUUCUAAUAAAGCAAACUAACAUCUAACAAUGGUAUGAUAUUACCUAUGGCGUCUAAACAUUAUUUGAAGCCUUAGAAGCCUUU
rnacentral:lncRNA from 1 species